AUUUAGGCUAGCAGCGUAGCUACACACAAUAAUACCAAAGUCAAUAUCAGCAUGUGAAGCUAUCUGUAUGUGUAGCUAUCUGUAAAAUUGCCUAAACAAACUGCACUAUCAAUUUAGAAAUCUAUCUCACCGAAUUCAACUUGCAGUUUGUCAUUGCCCAGAGUGAGUGCAGAGUACGUUGCUAUGGCAACAACUACCCGUUCCACAUUUCCCACAGACGCAUUCCAAGACGAUACUUGAAGGAGAAACUGAGUUGAAUAAUUUGGUAGACUGUAGAUUGAGCACAUCUAAGGGAAAUAAAUACAUUGUCAUGACGAUUUAAAUGGAUGGAUGUGUUCUAGACAAGUAUACCCAUACUAUAUAUUGGCUGAUUUUGGCGAUCUGGAGUGCAGCGUAAUACACACCAGCAAGCGAUCGAUACACACUCAGCCGAGAGCAGCGCCAUACAUCAGGAGUGUUGUCGGCCACGCGUAGCUCCUCCAAUCUUCCGUAGCCCCCUGCUGUUUUAAUAUGUAUUAUACUGAUCAUUAUUUCCAUAUCAAAUGUGUGUAGUGAUGUCUGCUUCUCCCGUCUCUUCUUUUUAAAAUGAGUCCCCAUCUGCAUUCCUUUUUUUAAUGUCUGGAUUAAAAAUAGACACGCAUACAUAUUUUAAUAUGUUACCAGCGCAGUCUGGUUACACUGCUAACACGCAAAUGUAAUUUGAGUGAUUAAAGAGCGUUACACAAUCAGUGUCAGAUUCAGCACUAGCUAAUGAAAGACACAUUUCCUUUGAAUAUCCUUGAGGGUUACGACCAAGCAGAACAAAGGUGAAUUGUAUUUUUCUGCUCUCCUAAAAUUAAAUGUGUCUUCCACAUUCAGGAAACCAUUCAUUAUCAUUUUUGUCUCUCUCCUACCAGAAAAAAAAGAUGGUAUUCAUUAGGGAAUACAUUUACUUGUGCAAGUAUGUUAGAUACACCGAGAGGUUAGAUUAAAUGAUUCAGCAUGCAGACAAAUAUAUGUAUGUGUGAACAUCCAUAUUUCAGCUGUAGCUACAGGCAGAUUUUUCACACUGUCUGUUUAUCCACUUUAGCCUCGUGUUUGAACUGGAACUUAUUAGAGGAAAAAAAUAUGAACAUUUUCUUCACUGCAGAUCUGGGCAUACUGUGGCGCAGAGAUGUUAUGGGCA
rnacentral:lncRNA from 1 species